UACGAAGGGGGCUAGCGUUGUUCGGAAUCACUGGGCGUAAAGCGCACGUAGGCGGAUCAAUAAGUCAGGGGUGAAAUCCCGAGGCUCAACCUCGGAACUGCCUUUGAUACUGUUGACCUUGAGUCCGGGAGAGGUGAGUGGAACUCCGAGUGUAGAGGUGAAAUUCGUAGAUAUUCGGAAGAACACCAGUGGCGAAGGCGGCUCACUGGCCCGGUACUGACGCUGAGGUGCGAAAGCGUGGGGAGCAAAC
rnacentral:rRNA from 1 species